AAGCGAGUGUGGGAACUGGAGGGAGUGAACGCUGAAACUGGCCAGUCACUCCUCUCUGGCGGGAGCAGGCUCUGUGCGGGCCCUACAGCAGCAUCCAAGCCCCUGUCCUCUUGGCACCCGAGCUCUUCCAGGAAGAAUUAGGUCACCCAACCGGAUUGAAGGAAGUCCACCCAAGGAUCCCCAGCGAAAGAGAGCCAUAGUCCGAGUCUCUGGCUGCCUGCCUGUUUGGAGCUUUGAUGGCCUCUAGGCCCCCAUAUGAGACAGGACUGUUCCCUUCACCUUAACCCCCUUCGUGGGCGGGAACCUGGCUGCAGAGCGUGCGAGUGCGGGAACCGGAGCUAACGAAUGCUGGAACCGGCCAGUCACCCCUCUCUGGCGGGAAUAGGCUCUGUACGGGCUUCACAGCAGCGUCCAAGCCCUGCCCUCUCGGCACCCGGGUGCCUGUCCGGCGUCCAGGAAGAAUUAAGUCACAUGAACGGAUUGAAGAGUAGUGUAUGCGGAGGAUUUGAUUGAGUGGUGGCUCCUGGUGGGAUGGAAACUGGAAAGUAGAUGGUGAGAGAGGAUCAUCUUUCCCGGAAGCCGCACCGUCUGAAGUUAGCUGCGCCUACCUCUAGUCUUCAACACUCCGUUGCUGCUUCUCUGCUCACCGCUCAGCCGCUUGUGUUGAUCUGCCGGCUGAAGUCUUUUUUAUGGCCACAGGAUAGGGGCGUGGCAGGCCAAAAAAUCAACAUUUGCGCAGAAAAACAGGGUCAGCUGUUUUCAAGGCCGUGAUUCCAGGCUUAAGGGUAGGGUUUAGCUGGGAGCCCAGCCGUUCUGUAUCAGUGAUAGUUGCACAACUAUAAAUAUACUAACAACUAUUAAAUUGUGUACUUUAA